GUUCACUUGACUCGCUCUAAUUCCCACAGAAGGAUAAUCAUGUUGUUCAUGCUGAUGCACGGACUGCUGCAGAUAUAGAUAUGGCAUCCUGAUUCACUGAUUCACUAACAAAGUCAGACAGCAUCCAUUUCCACUGCGCCUGACUGCAAGUGCUUCGUCAAUAAAAGUCCCCAUCGCUGGAUAAUUCAGGCAGGCGAGUGACCACAACCGACUCCCUUUGAGGGUAUUUUGCCAAUUUAUUAAUACAAGCAGCUUUGAGAUUUAUUUUAUAACCCAACAAAGCUCCUUCGUUGUCAAUAAUAAUAAUUAUAUUUUAAAUAGCCCAGAUAGUGGUUUAAGCUUAAAAGUUGUAUUUUAUGUAUUAUUAGUUAUUAUAAAAAUUUUUAAUGGAGUUUUCUUCCGCUUUUAAGCUGUGAGGUAUAAAAAAAUAAAUCAAAAACAUAGGAACGAAACAAAAAACUUAUCGCCCCAAAACUUCCGCUGCACGGACGGCCAUAAAAUGGGGGACAUUGAACUUCUGAGCGGGUUGAAACAGGCAUUGCUGAAAACUGUAAAAAUACCAGCAAAGAAGCCGGAAAAAACAGUCACAUCAACACGAAACAUUAAGCUCCACAGUCACAACAUAUUCGGCUCUUCGAUGCAUUUCCUUAAAGUCGCCACGGAGCUGAAAUCGAAUGGGAGCGCACGCGCCUGCAAGUAUGCAAUGUUGUAAUACGAGACCAGCACGCGAUGGAGAUGAUGUUUGGCAACGGAAGGGGGCACGGGAAUUUGUCCGGGGUUCUCGGGGUUUCGGAAUCGGAACAGAAAAUCAGCUCAACCAGACGAAAAGGCCACCAAAGGAAUGGGCUAUUUACGAUGGGCGGAAGUGCUUUAAUUAGAUGUUGGUAAAAGAUUAUAAGUUAUUCCGAUCAAGUUCUCCCUGCGUUUCCUCUAUAUAAUUCGAUUAAGUAAUAGACUUGAAAGUGAUUCUGGAAAAUCGAUGUACAUUCUUAUACUUAUUUCCUUAAAUUUGAAAGAAUUUAGAACUUUGAGAUUAAUUAAUUAAUAAUCCAUUUACAAUCAGUUUUAAAGCUUAUUUUUGAGUAAAAACGUGGGAGGUGUUGAGGUAAUCGACUCAAUUAGCUAUUGUAUAAGUACACAUUGCACACUCCCGCGCCAGCCAAACAAACACAAAACUCAAUUAGAUGCCAUAACUAAAUAAUCACAAACACAUUUACGCCAGCAAGAGCUCUUUCCAGUAGAAGCCCGGUUGGCAGCCAAGAAACGUGGCAAAAAAAAAACGGAGAACCAGGUCAACAACAGGAACAACAUGAGCAACAAUUUUGAAACAAUGAAAUGGCGACAACGACAGAAGCGGCAGGGCAUGCCUGGAAAAUUGCUUGAAAUGCUCAGAAGCCAUAGUGGGAGAGAGGAUGGGGGAGAGAGUCGGAAAAGUGGGUGGAGGGGUUGGCAUUCCAACAUGUGACGCACGUGACAAAACUUGUCAAGUGACUUUACUUCACUUUGACUGCGAAUCCCGGCUCUGUUGUCCGUAAACAAGAAGACGGAAUCCCAGCUGGGAAGAAAAAUAGGUUUGUGUGCAUUGCCCAACACAAAAUGCUUAAGAAAACUCUACUGUCGGUAAAACAAUAAAAAGAGGGGCAGAAAGGAAAAAUCAGUCGCGGCUUGGCUUCUCCAACUUGUUGCGCCUUUGGCUAAAUUAUGACAUCGAGAGUUUCUGGGCAUGGGAAGUCCUUGGAGACGCACUGAAGUAUUUUUGGAGGAGCAAUGGAGUGGAAUUUUAUGAGACACACAAACAACCAGGAGUGAUUCUGUGAAUUAUAAUUCUUAAACAGAAUCAAAUUAGAGGUCCCAGGUUAAUAUAAGAUCAAAUUUAGAAAAGUAAUCCAAAAGCAGGCCAUGAAAUACAACAUAGAAGGCCAUGAAAUCAAAGUUAAAACAGUGGAACUUGGGUAACCAAGCGAGUGGGUUGAGCUCAUUCUCGUUUCGGUUCUCUAACAGCAAACAUCUAUUUGGAAGACUACCAAAUUUCUGGGACUGAAAAUCCUACUUCCGUAAUCAGGCUAAUAGAAUAAAAUGUGCAAUCCAGGAAUGUGUUCAAUGCCCGGCACUUGCUGUGGACCGACUGGCGGACUGGGACCAUGUUUGCUCUGCGGACCCUAUAAUGGCCAGUGGUUCCGCUCGAUCAAUCACUGCUGUGGUCCUUGUGGACCAUAUGGAUGCUGCUCGUGCUACGGGCCCCAUGGAGGACAUUGUUAGCCUGCUUAGAAGGAAUGUAGGGUUUCUUUAUCCGUGAUCUGGAACAAGAGCUUGAGGGAGUACAACCACGAAGAGGCAUUCUACAGAGAUGUCAAGCGAGGUGGAUCCGAAAAUUUGUGUUUAAUGAAAUAUGGUUGGGAUAUUGUCUAUGGACUCCCAAGAUUAUUCCAUCAGCAAUAGAUGUUAAUAAAUUAUUCGUAUAUUUCAAAA